UACGGAGGGGGCAAGCGUUAUUCGGAAUUAUUGGGCGUAAAGGGCGCGUAGGCGGCUAGAUGUGUCAAAGGUGAAAUCCCUCGGCUCAACUGAGGAACUGCCUUUGAAACUUUCUGGCUUGAGGCCGGGAGAGGGUAGCGGAAUUCCCAGUGUAGCGGUGAAAUGCGUAGAUAUCUGGAGGAACAUCGGUGGCGAAGGCGGCAUCCUGGACCGAUAUUGACGCUGAGGCGCGAAAGCCAGGGGAGCAAACGGG
rnacentral:rRNA from 1 species